rnacentral:tRNA from 5 species
GCCCCCUUAGCUCAGAGGAUAGAGCAACGGACUUCUAAUCCGUCGGUCGUAGGUUCGACUCCUACAGGGGGUG